CCUCUUCUCUUUGAUCUUUGAUCAUCUCCCACAUCCAAAGGUGUUGGGUGGACCAUCUAGUGGUUUCUAGGUGUCGAGUUCCAUCCGAUAUACGUGAAGGAACAAGAAGGCUACGAACAGGCCUUGAUUGAAAUUCUGUCAGAGAUCUGAUUGAAGGCCAAUCCAGAAGCUUGUAGAUUUAUCUAGGAGUAGAUGAAUCGAAGAUGGAGAGAGCAUCCUAGUCUGAGCUCAAAUGGAUACCUGUAGAGGUUGGAUAUGUACACGGCUAAACAACAAACCUCAAAAAUCCAUGGAUCAUCGGACUAUGGAGUUCAUCUAUCCACGCAAGAUGAUGAUGAUGCAAUUAUCAAUUAAUUUUUGUUGGGUAUAAAUAACCCCC
rnacentral:lncRNA from 1 species